UACGUAGGGUCCGAGCGUUGUCCGGAAUUAUUGGGCGUAAAGGGCUCGUAGGCGGUUUGUCGCGUCGGGAGUGAAAACUCAGGGCUCAACCCUGAGCGUGCUUCCGAUACGGGCAGACUAGAGGUAUGCAGGGGAGAACGGAAUUCCUGGUGUAGCGGUGGAAUGCGCAGAUAUCAGGAGGAACACCGGUGGCGAAGGCGGUUCUCUGGGCAUUACCUGACGCUGAGGGGCGAAAGCAUGGGGAGCGAACAGG
rnacentral:rRNA from 1 species